UACGUAGGGCGCAAGCGUUAUCCGGAAUUAUUGGGCGUAAAGAGCUCGUAGGCGGUUUGUCGCGUCGGCCGUGAAAGUCCGGGGCUCAACUCCGGAUCUGCGGUGGGUACGGGCAGACUAGAGUGAUGUAGGGGAGACUGGAAUUCCUGGUGUAGCGGUGAAAUGCGCAGAUAUCAGGAGGAACACCGAUGGCGAAGGCAGGUCUCUGGGCAGUAACUGACGCUGAGGAGCGAAAGCAUGGGGAGCGAACAGG
rnacentral:rRNA from 1 species